rnacentral:lncRNA from 1 species
CAGACCGAUUUCCUUCUUUAUGAAAGCUUCAUUUUCGGAGCCAUUUCCACAACCAGAGCAAGCAAGGAUCUUAGGAGAUCGAAUGUGUGAGGAGAUAGAGAGUUUUUAGGAGAAGGAUAGGGAUUUUUGGAGGAGUGAUACCCCUAUUUGGAAGAGACGGGUAGAAUCUAGGGCACGCUCAAACUGCUCCAAAUAAGAGAGGAGAAGGGGAAGAACUUGAUUCCUAAAGGUCGAUUUGAGGUGUAAGGGGCGAUGGGAGAAGAGUCUUGGGGGAAGGACUUGGGUUUGGAGAAGAAGAGAAGGGGACCUAUGGCUUGG